rnacentral:lncRNA from 1 species
CAGAUGGGCCUCAGUCAGAAGGCCCCACAUUCUGGCCCCAGGAAAAAAAGGAGAAACCAGGAGCCACAUCCCAUAUUCUGAAGCAGCUGGAGACAGCGCGAUAGAAAGGCGGCCGGCGAAAGGGCUCCCAGGUUUCCACUCGGCUGGCUUUGUAUGAGCAGCAGGACCCUUUUCUGGAACAUCCUCCAGCAUGGAAGUCUGAGGUGUACCAGCUGCUGUGGGGACAAUCUGGAAGAGACAUCGUCAAGGUGCACCCUCAGUGUCUGUGGAGGCUGAAUAAUGCCCUCCCCACCCAAGGAUGCCCAUGUUCUAAUCUUCAGAACCCAUGCAUGUCACCUUCUAUGACAAAAGGAACUUCACACAUGGGAUGGAGUGAAGGGUCUGGAGAUGGGGAGAUGAUCCCGGAUGAUCCAGGGAACCCCAGAGGUUACCACAAGGUCCUUACGAGAAGAAGGCAGGAGGGAGAAAAUCAGAGAAGGAGCGGCAAGGACAAAGCGGGGUCAGGGUGAGGUGAGGAAGGGGCUGAGAGCCAAGGGGUGCAGGCAUCUCUAGAAGCUGGACACGACAAGGGAACGGGUUCUCUUUGGGAGCCUCUAGAGGGAACCAGCCCUGCCCACACCUUGAUUUCAGACUUUUGUCCUCCAGAACCGUAAGAGAGCAAAUUCGUCUUGUUUUAACCCACUAAAUGUGUGGUAACUUGAUACGAUAGCAAUAUUGAAUACAAUACUGAAACUAAUACAGUACUGUAUCCAAAUAAAAAAUGUUGGGGGUUUUGUUUUUUGUUUUUAGAGACAAGGUCUCGCUCUGUGGAUCUGGCGUGCUCACAGCUGCCUGAAGCCUGGACCUCCCGGGCUCAAGCAAUCCUCCCACCUCGGCCUCCCAAAGCGCUGGGAUCACAGGCAUAUGCACCACCAUGCCCAGCCCAGAAUAACAAAUGUUUUAAAUCCACACUUUUCCGAAUGAAUUUGGGCAAGAGUCUAGGGCUUGGAUUCUGCCCUGGAGUUAAACUUUCACUCCUUCAACAAAAUAUCCUUUUGUAUUUAGGUCUUAGACGCAAAGCUUUAACUAUAACUCCACCUUAUAAAUGUAUCUGCAUCCAUGGAUUCCCUAUGAGCAAGAAAGCCUCAUGCACACGAGAUCAGCUUUCUAACGAUAACUGAGUAAUUAAUGAAUUACAAGCAAAACAAUGACAGCAAACAUUUAUUAAACCCUACAUGCUAAGGGCUGUUCUGUAGGCUUCACGUGAAGAAACAUGUAAUAACACCGUGGGGAGGGCAGAAUUUUUAUUCUCAGUUUACAGAUGAGGAAACUGACGCAAACAGAGGCUAGAUGUCUUCCUGUAACAAACCCACUUACUGACAGUCUCCUCCAAGACACACCCCCACACACACCAUUUGAACACAGAGAUCCUAGCGAAUGUGUCGUGACUGCCGCUGCCAGACACUGCUGAGAGUGCUCCAGAUCAACUCACCCAUUUAAUCCUCAGGACAACCCAUGAGGCGGUACUGUGAUCGCCCCACUUUACAGAUGAGAGGACAGACACACAGAGCCACGGAAACCAGCCCCGGGUCACACAGCUGGGAAGGGGCCGUGACUUUCCUACUCAGGCCCGCGGCACACAGAGCCCCAGAGAAAGGCUCAGGAGAAGGGAGACGCGUGGGACUAAUGGUCUUGGAAGCACAGCCGGGGUGACGGAAGCAGUGACAGCAUCUUCAUGCAGCCAGAAGCCGCUGACUCUACGAAGAAUGGAAGACGGCCUUGAGUGCUUUCCAGGUUUGAACUUCACUAAGGAAAAAGAAUAGCCUGUACAAAUGUCAAAGCCCGAAGUGAAAACUGAAGUCCUCAGCAUAAGCAGGAACCAUUCCCAGAUGGGAGGGAAAGUGCCUAGGAAGUUGCUGAGUCCACACUCAAGUUGUUGUUUGAUAAGUUUUACAAAAUGACAAAGAUUGGGCCAUAGACAGACAUAUUUGAUGUACAUUCUGGUAUCUGCAGAUUUGAUCAGGUACAAAAUUUUUAAGCCAUAUUGAUUAUGAGACAUGUUUUGGUAUUUGCAUAUAUAUAUAUAUUUUGAGACAGAGUCUUGCUCUGUUGCCAGGCUGGAAUACAGGAGCUCAAUCUUGGCUCACUGCAACCUCUGCCUCCUGGGUUCAAGUAAUUCUCCUGCAUCAGCCUCCCAAGUAGCUGGGACUACAGGUGCGUGCCACCACACCCAGCUAAUUUUUUGUAUUUUAGUAGAGACGGGGUUUCACCAUGUUGGCCAGGAUGGUCUCGAUCUCCUGACCUCGUGAUCCACCCGCCUCAGCCUCCCAAAGUGCUGGGAUUACAGGCAUGAGCCACUGCUCCCAGCCUGGUAUUUGCAUAUUUGAUCAGGUAUAUAAUUUUUAAGCCAUUUUGAUUAUGAGAGUACAGGAAAAACAUAAACUAUACUCUGGAAAUGUAUAUGUGUAUAUUCCAUACAUACACCCCAUAUGCAUCCCACAUGUAGAUUCCAUGUAUACUCCAUGUACAUAUGACAAAAGAGCUGAUGUAUCAAAACUUCUUUUGAGAUGGCUAGAUUUAUUUUUCUAUAUUUUAAGUUUACAAAAUGCCUUUGUUUGUUGGAUUUUUCAUAAACUGGCUCCUUGCCUGAGCCGUGUGUGGAAGAGUUCUUUUAAUUUCAUAGCUUCUAAAUGUUAGCUUCUAAAUAAAUGUUGGCUACAUGAAAGAGGGGUCCUUUAUAAAUCCACGAACAAAAAUCAAAGUGUAGGAAACAAAACACACCUUUGAAUUUUAUUUCAUCUUUCUCUUGCAAGUUUCAAUCCAGGAAAGGAACCCUGUGCAGUCUGAUUUUUUCUUUUUAUACUUUAAAUUCUGGGAUACAUGUGCAGAACAUGCAGGUUUUAUACAUAGGUAUACAUGUGCCAUGGUGGUUUGCUGCACCCAUCAACCCAUAAUUUACAUUAGGUAUAUCUCCUAAUGCUACCCCUCCCCUAGCCUCCCACCCCACAAAAGCUCCAAUGUGUGAUGGUCCCCUCCCUGUGUCCACAUGUUCUCAUUGUUCAACUCCCACUUAUGAGUGAGAACAUGCAGUGUUUGGUUUUCUGUUCCUGUGUUAGUUUGCUGAGAAUGAUGGUUUCCAGCUUCAACCAUGUCCCUGCAAAGGAAAUGAACUCAUUCUUUUUUAUGGCUGCAUAGUAUUCCAUGGUGUAUAUGUACCACAUUUUCUUUAUACAGUUUAUCAUUGAUGGGCAUUUGGAUUGGUUCCAAGUCUUUGCUAUUGUGAACAGUGCUGCAAUAAACAUACAUGCACAUGUAUCUUUACAGUAGAAUGAUUUAUAGUCCUUUGGGUAUAUACCCAGUAAUGGGAUUGCUGAGUCAAAUGGUAUUUCUGGUUCUAGAUCCUUGAGGAAUUGCCAUACUGUCUUCCACAAUGGUUGAACUAAUUUACACUCCCACCAACAGGGUAAAAGUGUUCCUAUUUCUCCACAUCCUCUCCAGCACUAGUUGUUUCCUGACUUUUUAAUAAUUGCCACUCUAAC